AGCUCGGGUGCCAUUCUUUUUCUGCGCACUUCCUCCUCUAACCUACGAGCAGACUUUUUUCUCUGCGAUAGCUUCAAUUUGGAAGCCAUUUUGGAUAAGAGAGACUUACAAACAGUUUAGAAGAUCUAAUGAAAGGUAGAGUGGAAAGAAUUUUAGAGGAAAGAACAAGAAUUUUGAGGAGAUAGACUGUCGGUUUGGAGAAGAGGGUUUGAAGCUAGGGUAAGCUUGA
rnacentral:lncRNA from 1 species